rnacentral:lncRNA from 1 species
CAUCACAUUCACAGCUCCACAGGCUAACGUUCUCUAUACUGAUGGCCCCUUCUUAGUUGAUGAUUUUUCACAAUGUAUUUCAUGGCUUCCAUCCCUACAUGAGACUUUAUUACUAUCACAUAGGAAUAAAAAGCCAUAAAGCACUAGAGUGAAUUUAUCUUGGUCGGAUGCAAAACUUAUUUUCUUCACAUGACUUCACAACCAUUUCAAAGCUAACCAAUCAUUUCACGCUACAUUAAAGAACAUUUUAAACUACACAUAAGUGACAGGAAGCACACUUGAAUUGUGACAUCACGAAUUAACAAGAUUUUAUCCUUCCACGACAUUCUUAGCUACAAGGACCGGGAAACAAGACCAAGAGACACUCAGCAACAUUCAGCCAUUGAAUUCACCAAAAACAAAGGACACUGGGAAGAAUUCCUGGAGAAAUGCUCAUCACUUUGACAUUGAACUUGGAAACACAUACGGAAAGACAGAAGACAGACAAAUCACUGAUGCAAACUGAAACCAGAGGAAUUAUUUCAAGCCUCUUGCUCCAACUUUUCCCCAGAAAGCUUUCUUACAUACCCAUGCUGGCUUUUAGACUUUUCAUUUUGGGUCAGGUGGGGAGUCGGGAUCUUAGUACCUGUUUGACUAUGUAAGCGUUAAGCUUUCUCUACACCUAAAUAACAAAAAGGAAAUAAAAAAGUAUAGCAUACUAUGUGCUAACUGCUCA